rnacentral:rRNA from 1 species
UGGGGAAUUUUACGCAAUGGGCGAAAGCCUGACGUAGCGACACCGCGUGAGCGAAGAAGCCCUUUGGGGUGUAAAGCUCUGUCGGCAGAGACGAAUAAAUGACGGUACCUGCAGAGGAAGCAUCGGCUAACUACGUGCCAGCAGCCGCGGUAAGACGUAGGAUGCGAGCGUUGUCCGGAUUCAUUGGGCGUAAAGAGUUCGUAGGCGGUUUGUUAAGUCUGAUGUUAAAGAUCGGGGCCCAACCCUGGGAGUGCAUUGGAUACUGGCAGACUGGAGUGCAGUAGAGGCAAGUGGAAUUCCCAGUGUAGCGGUGAAAUGCGUAGAUAUUGGGAAGAACACCGGUGGCGCAGGCGACUUGCUGGGCUGUAACUGACGCUGAGGAACGAAAGCUAGGGGAGCAAAUGGGAUUAGAUACCCCCGUAGUCC